GAGUUUGAUCUUGGCUCAGAUUGAACGCUGGCGGCAUGCCUUACACAUGCAAGUCGAACGGCAGCACGGGAGCUUGCUCCUGGUGGCGAGUGGCGAACGGGUGAGUAAUGCAUCGGAACGUAUCCUGGAGUGGGGGAUAACGUAGCGAAAGUUACGCUAAUACCGCAUAUUCUGUGAGCAGGAAAGCGGGGGACCUUCGGGCCUCGCGCUCUUGGAGCGGCCGAUGUCGGAUUAGCUAGUUGGUGAGGUAAAGGCUCACCAAGGCGACGAUCCGUAGCAGGUCUGAGAGGAUGAUCUGCCACACUGGAACUGAGACACGGUCCAGACUCCUACGGGAGGCAGCAGUGGGAAUUUUGGACAAUGGGGGCAGCCCUGAUCCAGCCAUGCCGCGUGAGUGAAGAAGGCCU
rnacentral:rRNA from 1 species